rnacentral:rRNA from 1 species
UACGUAGGGUCCGAGCGUUGUCCGGAAUUACUGGGCGUAAAGAGCUCGUAGGUGGUUUGUCGCGUUGUUCGUGAAAACUCACAGCUCAACUGUGGGCGUGCGGGCGAUACGGGCAGACUAGAGUACUGCAGGGGAGACUGGAAUUCCUGGUGUAGCGGUGGAAUGCGCAGAUAUCAGGAGGAACACCGGUGGCGAAGGCGGGUCUCUGGGCAGUAACUGACGCUUAGGAGCGAAAGCGUGGGGAGCGAACAGG